rnacentral:rRNA from 1 species
AGCGAACGCUGGCGGUAUGCUUAACACAUGCAAGUCGAGCGCGAAAGUGACUUCGGUCAUGAGUAGAGCGGCGGACGGGUGAGUAACACGUGGAUAAUCUGCCUUUAGGACUGGGAUAACCCUGGGAAACUAGGGCUAAUACCGGAUAAGACCACAGGUUCCAUGGAACCAGGGGUAAAGGACGGCCUUCGGGCGUGUCGCCGAAAGAAUGAGUCCGCGUCCCACUCAGGUAGUUGGUGAGGAACGGCUCACCAA